GGUCAGUCCUCAGAAGAGGAUCGCAAAAUUGAAACGUCAGGAUUCCGUGGCUCAAGAUGCUAGAAAUCUGGCACCAAGAUAGGUUUGAUUCCCCGUCCAUUAAAAUAUUUCUUCUUAAAUCUCACUUCCAAAUCCAGAGAUUCAGGUGUGAAGCUUAAUUCCAUAGCCUCCCUCCAAAUAAUUAUCUUCCAGCUGAGGAUUCAUCCUGAACAUUUUCAAAUACAUAAAACUCCAGGUAUAACUCCAAACCAAACAUGAUGAAAGGAGGCAUUUGGAUAGACCACAGAAAGAUACACCAUCACAUUGCACACCAGCUGCUGUAAACACUUCAGCUUUCUGCAGCAACCAGAGGAAGGAAUUAUGACUCAGCAUGCUUCUUCAGUGGUUGGUUCUGGACAGCCUUUUUAAACUCUAAUCCAAAAUAGAAAUAACGUACCUCCCAUGUGUUCAAGAAGCUUGCACUCCUGGGGAUGACAAUGCCCUUUCCAUCUGCAGGAAAGAAGUUCUCCUCUGAUCGCGACGGCAAAGCAGCAAACAUUUGCUGACCUCCAUAAUUCCGCACUGAACUCUUCCCUCAGACAGGACACCCUAAUUUCUCUGUUACUUUAUUCCUUUGCCAAAUUCUAAUAGUUUAAAAUCAAAAAAAGAUGAAGUUAAAUAAUAGCUGUUGUGUGUUUUUGAGAAAGUUUGAGUUUGGUUACUGUGGGUUUUCUAAGAUAUUGCUUUCCUUAGUUUAUACAAAAAAGCAUUUAUUGAUCUAGGUUUUAGACCAAGUGCUGAUGACUCAGACAUGAAUAACAGUUCCUCUGGAGUGUUUCAAGUAAAACAAAUAUGUAAAAACUAAGCUAUAAUACAAUUUAAUAUGUCUUUUGACAGAGGUGCACAAGCUGUGGGAACAUGGGAGAAAACAUAAUUGAUUCUGUGGUUCCAGGGAAGCCUUCAGAGAGCAGAAGGCAUUUGGGCAAAUCUCGAAGGAUGGGCACGGGCUCCGUAAGUGGAGUGAGAGCACUUAAGGCAGAGAACAGGAAGAAUAAAAGCACCAGUACAUCAAAGUGCAGUGUUGGCUGUGAUUUCCUUUCAUUCCAGAUGAGACAAGUCAGGAAUCCGGGGACAGACAUGCAUCUGGGAGGCUUGCCCUCCUCAACGCAGACUUAGCUCAGACCCACUGCAAGCAGAAAUUUCAGGACUGCAGAAUCAGGCUGAUUAAAUCAUAGGGGUCAGACUUCCUUGAGAGCAAAAUGUUUGCAAACACCUUCAUGGAAAUGGGACAAUGGACUCAAGAGAACUGCAGGUUUUCCAGACUACCAGGAAACAUGAUUUCUGGAGGAGGAGCCACAUUCUUCUAGAGGGAACCCAAGGGGAAUGCCACAAGGUUUUAGGAACUACAAGUGGUCCCAGCUUCCUCC
rnacentral:lncRNA from 1 species